rnacentral:rRNA from 1 species
GACGAACGCUGGCGGCGUGCUUAACACAUGCAAGUCGAACGGAACUUCUUGGAUAGAGGCUUCGGCCAAUUGAAUUGAAGUUUAGUGGCGGACUGGUGAGUAACGCGUGAGGAACCUGCCUUUCAGAGGGGGACAACAGUUGGAAACGACUGCUAAUACCGCAUGACACAUUUGGGUCGCAUGGCUCGGAUGUCAAAGAUUUUAUCGCUGAAAGAUGGCCUCGCGUCUGAUUAGCCAGUUGGCGGGGUAACGGCCCACCAAAAGCGACGAUCAGUAGCCGGCCUGAGAGGGCGACCGGCCACAUUGGGACUGAGACACGGCCAA